rnacentral:rRNA from 1 species
ACCCCCCGAAACUAAGCGAGCUACUCCAAAGCAGCCUUACAGGGCUAACCCGUCUCUGUAGCAAAAGAGUGGGAAGACUUUAGAGUAGAGGUGACACACCUACCGAGCUUAGAGAUAGCUGGUUAUUCAAGAGAAGGAUCUUAGUCCAACUUUAAGUUUUUAAGUACUAUUAAACAUUCAAUAAACUUAAAAGUCAUUCAAAUAAGGUACAGCCUAUUUGAAACAGGAGACAGCCUACAAUAUAGGGUAAUGACUUAUUAUACGUGACUAAGUAGGCCUAAAAGCAGCCAACUUCCAAAAAGCGUCCAAGCUUCAUCACAGUCCUUCGUCAAUUCCACAAUUGACUCACAACCCUCAACCACCACUGAAUAUUCCUAUACCCAUAUAGGAAAUAUUAUGCUAGAACUAGUAAUAAGAAAAGAACUUCUCCAACAUGUAAACGUAAGCCAAAAUGAACACUCACCGGCACUUACCGCCAUAAACCUGCAGUAUCAACAUCACAAGAAAAUUGUACUCCAACUGACGUUAACCUUACACUAGAACAUUCCUGGAAAGAUUAAAAAAGGGGGAAGGAACUCGGCAAACAUUA